GGAGGAAUGGGACCAGUACAGAGGAUGAAGAGGAAAACGGAAGGAGAUAUGAAAAGAGUUUGUUUUGAUGGCAGCAAGGACAGUGACCAUCAAACCAUGAACUGUAGUAACCUGAGCACAAGGAAAGAAAGAGAGAAAGGAAAGAAAAUGAGGAAAAUAAAAAGGACAAGGGAGGAAAGUAGGUUUUUAAAAAGGAAAAGAAAGGAGGAGUCUUCCCAGGAUGGGAGCAGCAAUGGGAGGAAUUUUUUUUUUCAACAGGCACAGGAAGCGGCGUGAAUGUUUAUUUUUGUGGGGACCAGUUUGGAGUUAUAGACCUUUGGAAGGCUUCCCACUUUCUGCCAUGCCUCCAAACUGCUGUUUGAGAGUCCGGACCUGGUUCCUGGGUUCAGGUAUGCCGCCGAGAGGAGACCCUGGGAUAGAUACAGGACAUGCUGGAGAGAUCAUGUCUCUCAGCUGGCUCAGGAACCCCUCAGUGUCCCCUUGGAGAGCUGGAGGAUCUGGCUGGAGGGGUCUGAGGGUCUCUGCUUACACUGCUGCCAUGUGACUGUGAUAUGAGCUGAUGGUUGUCUAUAAUUCUAAAAGAGACUAUUAUUCUGUAGCACGUACCACUUUCUGCCAGGAACAUUUCUGAUGCUGAAGAUUUACAAGGUUAUACGGUGUAUUCUGAUGGACUGACUGUCACACUGUUAGAUGGGUAAAUGUAAAUUUAACUGCAGAAUUUGAAAUCUAUGAUAGGUUGAUGUUAAAGUUAAUGAUUUUGUAUUUGUAUUCACAUGCAUUCCUGUAAAGACUGCACAUAAUAAAUAUCUGGGACUGCCAUAAGAAUCAGCCAAGGAUGACCUUUCAAUCGUAUAAGCCAGGUGAAGGCAACACUAAAAUGUCAAACAACACUUUAUGCAUACACUGGGAGGGAUAUAUAAUCGCACUAAAGAUUAAAAAAACAAACUCAAACGCUCCUGCAGUGAGGUUAGACUGCACAGCUGCUUAUUGACAUAUUAUCUAGGUCAUCCAAACAGAAGGAUAGAUAAAAAAAGGCUGAAUGGUGAACUAAAAUACACAAAACUGUGUAUUCAAGGCGAACUUUCUACAUCGUCUACACAGCUUCCAGAAACAGCAUCAACAGCUUUCCUUUGGAUUUAACCUCAUAACGUGAUGAGCAUGAACAAUUUUAGACUUCAAAUUAGGUCAUGUGUAUAUGUAAUACUGUGCUCCUAUUAUUAACACUCACGACAGCAAUGCUGGUGUCUUUUCACCUCGUUAGCCUCUGUGCGUGUGUUAUCAUACACAGAUAAAAUGCAAUCAUCACUCCUACAGCAGCAGGAGUAACCACAAA